GAGGGUAUAGCUCAGUGAUAAAUUGCAUGCUUAGAAUGCAUGAGGUCCUGGGUUCAAUCCUCAGUACCUCCA
rnacentral:tRNA from 1 species